rnacentral:pre_miRNA from 1 species
CUGUAAUUUCAUAUUCCUCCACUUUUGAUCCCUCAUUUUACGUGUCAGUAUGCAGAUUCUGCUGACGUGGUGGAAUGGGGAUCAAAAGUGGAAGAAUCUGAAAUUACAG